AAAGCGUGCGCAGGCGGUUAUGUAAGACAGAUGUGAAAUCCCCGGGCUCAACCUGGGAACUGCAUUUGUGACUGCAUGGCUAGAGUACGGUAGAGGGGGAUGGAAUUCCGCGUGUAGCAGUGAAAUGCGUAGAUAUGCGGAGGAACACCGAUGGCGAAGGCAAUCCCCUGGACCUGUACUGACGCUCAUGCACGAAAGCGUGGGGAGCAAACAGGAUUAGAUACCGGAGU
rnacentral:rRNA from 1 species